rnacentral:rRNA from 1 species
CCUACGGGAGGCAGCAGUGAGGAAUAUUGGUCAAUGGGCGAGAGCCUGAACCAGCCAAGUCGCGUGAAGGAUGAAGGACCUAUGGGUUGUAAACUUCUUUUAUAAGGGAAUAAAGCGAGGAACGUGUGCCUGUUUGUAUGUACCUUAUGAAUAAGCAUCGGCUAACUCCGUGCCAGCAGCCGCGGUAAUACGGAGGAUGCGAGCGUUAUCCGGAUUUAUUGGGUUUAAAGGGUGCGUAGGUGGUUUAUUAAGUCAGUGGUGAAAGUUUGUGGAUCAACCAUAAAAUUGCAGUUGAAACUGGUUGUCUUGAGUAUAUUUGAGGUAGGCGGAAGGCGUGGUGUAGCGGUGAAAUGCAUAGAUAUCACGCAGAACUCCGAUUGCGAAGGCAGCUUACUAAACUCUAACUGACACUGAAGCACGAAAGCGUGGGGAUCAAACAGGAUUAGAUACCCGAGUAGUC